AUUGAACGCUGGCGGCAUGCUUUACACAUGCAAGUCGAACGGUAACAGGUUAAGCUGACGAGUGGCGAACGGGUGAGUAAUGCAUCGGAACGUGCCCGGUCGUGGGGGAUAACGCAGCGAAAGCUGCGCUAAUACCGCAUACGAUCUGAGGAUGAAAGCGGGGGACCGUAAGGCCUCGCGCGAUCGGAGCGGCCGAUGUCAGAUUAGGUAGUUGGUGGGGUAAAGGCGCACCAAGCCAACGAUCUGUAGCUGGUCAGAGAGGACGACCAGCCACACGGGGACUGAGACACGGCCGAGACUCCUACGGGAGGCAGCAGUGGGGAAUUUUGGACAAUGGGCGAAUGCCUGAUCCAGCAAUGCCGCGUGCAGGAAGAAGGCCUUCGGGUUGUAAACUGCUUUUGUACGGAGCGAAAAGGUCUCCUCUAAUACAGGGGGCUCAUGACGGUACCGUAAGAAUAAGCACCGGCUAACUACGUGCCAGCAGCCGCCGUAA
rnacentral:rRNA from 1 species